GCACUUACUAUGAUGCUGAUACUGGAGUGCAUCUGAGGCUGUUGUAGAAGCACGUGGGUUGUUGGUUACAACACUGCCGAUGAUUAUAGCCCAGGAGCAGCUCACCUAAGUAGCCUGACACCCUAAAAUCUCUGACAGGUUCAUUGAACGUGAUCCUGUGAUCUGA